AGUGGUACCAGAAGAACAGCUGGACUUUGGCCUCUGGAGACACACGGAGGAGAGGCUAGCUGCAGGGAGCUGGAGGAGAGGCAGAGGAGAAUAAAUAUUUUGGAACAACAGCUGCAGUUCGAGAGAGAGGAGUACAAGAGCCUCCUCUGCAGAGUUCUGCAGCACGCUGGGGAGAAACGGGAGCUCCUCACGGAGAUUAAAACUCUCCAAGAACAGCUGGAGAAAUGAGAAAUAUUUAGAAGGGAAUCCUUCCUUCCUUGCUUCCAUGAAUCGAUGCGUUGGAGGAAGAGGUAGAACGAGAAAGAAAGGAAUAUAAAAGCUUCCUCUGUAGAGUUCUGCAACAAGCUGGCAAGAAACAGGAGCUCCUCACGGAAAACAAAAGACUGAAGGAACAACUGGACAGCUGAGAAAUAUUUAGUAUCACCUAUCAUGAGAGGGCUAAUUUCUGUCUGCUCAUAAUUUACAGAAAUGCAAUGUUAUUUGAGGAGAUGGUGCAGGAAAGAGGGCAGCUAAAAGAAGAACUAAAGGCCUUAAAAUCAAAAACUUGAAGUUGAGCGAGGAGAAGGCGACCCAAAUUUACACCAUGGUAUAUUAAAGUCACUAACAGAGAAGCUCCUUUACAAAAAAUGCUCAUGUUAUUAUUGUAUCAUCAUGAAUAGAAAGAACAAAAUCCUCUUUUUUGUCCCAAUUUAAUCUUCAAAUAACUUUUUCUUUUAACCAGGAGAGGCUACACCUGAGAAUUCGUUUCCUGUCGUAAUAAGAUGUGAGGGUGAGGAUAGUGGAGGGUGGGUGAGCUGAUUUAAAUAGAAGGGAAUAUGCUGAUCUAUGCUGGUGCAUCUAUGCUCCCCUCCUUUCCCUCCUCACCAAGGAGAAAUGAUUCUCUGUCUCAGCCACAUCCAGCCAUCCCUGAAAAGGGACAAUAGAAGAACAUGGUCUCCUCGCUCAACUUCCAUAGGUUGUUAUUGCUUUAUCUUGCUAUUUCUCAGUUAUUAAUACAGUUAUUAUCAUUAACACAGUUAUUAUUGUUAUUAUAAUCAUUAUUGUCAUCGUUAUUUCAUUAGUCCUGGAACUGACCAGACUUGAAUGACCGGAGUGUCCAACAGUGGCUCAUGUCUGCACUCUUGUCUUAUCACUUCACAGGUGUGCAGCAGGGGAGCCCAAACACUGGGAGCUCCAGAACAAAUCUUCCCAGCUUCAUAAAACCGAGGCAGAACUCUGCAGGGAGCUGGAGGAGAGCCACAGGAGGAAUUCAAAAAUGUUGAAUGAAAUGGCGGAGGAGCGAGUUCAGUUAAAAAAGGAAAAUAAAGACCUUAAAAUCAAGAACUGGAAGUUGAGCGAGGAGAAGGCGACCAUCCUGCGGAAUUUCAGGGAGAGGCUGAGGAGGUGAGAAACACGUAGACAGCAGCCCUGACUGAGGGAGGGAGAGGACCAGGAUUCCUUGAAGCCGCUUAGAACUGACUUUCUAAACAAAUGAGAUCUCCUCCAGCCAAUCCUGAUCCAGGAGGAGGACUUCAGGAACUUGGAAAAGCUCCCGAGGAAUCCCAAAAUGGAUUGAAACAUCUAUUGUACUACAAAUAUCCCUAAUUUUGUAAAAUAAAGUUCCAAAAGAAGGAGAAAACUUACGAAUGUCUGGCUCCUGACACUUUUAGUCCUACAUGUAUAAAGCUAGGUCUACUUUGAGGAGCUCCUGAAGGAAAAUUUCCAGCUUGUGGAAAACAAGGCAGGACUCUGGAGGGAACUGGAGGAGAAACAGAGGAGGUGAGAAAUUUUCUGACAGCAUCCUUGACUUUCAUUGUUGGUCCAAAUUUAUCUCUAACCUUGUGAUUUUUCUAGAGAGAAAGAACUGAGGAAGAACCUCUGCAGGUGAGUGAUGUACAGAGACCAGCUGGUACCACUUAAUAGUACAGAGUCCAAAAGAAACACAAGGGCAGACAUUAGAACAAUGGAAGACAAGAGAGAAACUCUUGAAGACGUGAAACCUUUGAUGCUGCCAUAUAAACCGGAGAAGGAAUGGCUGAAAGCUUCUGGGGAGAAUCUCAAAGCCAAGAAAGCCCCACAGAGGCUUCUCCUCAGCCAUCCAGAGACUCCCUGGCAGGAAGACUCUUCUGGCAUCCCUGGUCAACCUUCCAAAGGAAGGUCCUGGAGCCUCCAGAGGGGUUGGCUGGAUGUAUCCAUAAUUCUUCUCCAAGAAAAAGGAGCAAAAACACCUCAUUGAAAUGUGCAGAAAUGGAGGGAAGUAUCUGUUCAAGCCAUUCAAGAUUGACAGACGUCUAUGGUGGAGAUCCACACUCCAUGCCUUGAGGUGAUCUUCCUUCUGAGGGGAUCCUUUGAUGGAAAGUGAGGGAUCUCCUCUUCCUUUUUCCUCCCAUUGAGCACUGAAAUGGCUUCUCCUCUUGCCUUUUUGGCUGCUGUUCCUCAGGCCUUUGAGGUCCCAAUGGAGCUGGAUAGGACUCUCCUUCCAGGUCACGUCAGACAUCAGAUUUGGCUCUGAAUCAUUCUCAUCAACUCCCUGAUAAAAAUAAAGAAAAGCCCAUUAAAAUGCAAGAAUGAGA